rnacentral:rRNA from 1 species
UACGUAGGGGGCAAGCGUUGUCCGGAUUUAUUGGGCGUAAAGCGCGCGUAGGUGGUUUGUUAAGUUGGAUGUGAAAGCCCCGGGCUCAACCUGGGAACUGCAUUCAAAACUGACAAGCUAGAGUAUGGUAGAGGGUGGUGGAAUUUCCUGUGUAGCGGUGAAAUGCGUAGAUAUAGGAAGGAACACCAGUGGCGAAGGCGACCACCUGGACUGAUACUGACACUGAGGUGCGAAAGCGUGGGGAGCAAACAGG